GUGCCUGCUUCAGCAGCACAUAUACUAAAAUUGGAACCAUUCAGAGAAGAUUGUGGCCCCUGUCCAAAGGCCACACACAGAUUCUUGAAGCAUUCUGUAUUUUG